ACAAGCUCCGCCUCCCAGGUUCCCGCCAUUCUCCUGCCUCAGCUUCCCGAGUAGCUGGGACUACAGGCGCCCGCCACCUCGCCCGGCUAGUUUUUUGUAUUUUUUAGUAAAGACGGGGUUUCACCGUGUUAGCCAGGAUGGUCUUGAUCUUCUGACCUCGUGGUCCGCCCGUCUCGGCCUCCCAAAGUGCUGGGAUUACGGGCUUGAGCCACCGCGCCCGGCCAAAGAAGUAUUUCUUAAAGAAGCAAAUGCUCGAUCUCCAAGUGCUGCCCAGUUCAUGAGUGCUGCUGCUGUCCUGCCCAAGUACCCAGCUUGCAGGAGUGCCGGAAUUAGAGUCCCAGGGGUGUUCUCCACGGCCACAUACUUGAUCCAGGUCUAUCAGUGAACCAGCAUCUUGCCCUUCAGACCCUACAGCACACUCUUGGGCUCAUGAAGUGUAUGACACAUCCUCCUUGGAAGAUCGGCCAUGUCCUCGCUGUCAUGACCACAUGAAUUCUUCU
rnacentral:lncRNA from 1 species